rnacentral:rRNA from 1 species
UCCGCACGAGCGCACCCUUAUCCUUAGUUGCUAGCAGGUAAUGCUGAGAACUCUANCGANACUGCCGGUGAUAAACCGGAGGAAGGUGGGGACGACGNCNNGUCAUCAUGGCCCUUACGUGUAGGGCUACACACGUGCUACAAUGGCGCAUACAGAGUGCUGCGAACUCGCGAGAGUAAGCGAAUCACUUAAAGUGCGUCGUAGUCCGGAUUGGAGUCUGCAACUCGACUCCAUGAAGUCGGAAUCGCUAGUAAUCGCAUAUCAGAAUGAUGCGGUGAAUACGUUCCCGGGCCUUGUACACACCGCCCGUCACACCAUGGGAGUGGGUUGCUCCAGAAGUAGAUAGUCUAACCCUCGGGAGGACGUUUACCACGGAGUGAUUCAUGACUGGGGUGAAGUCGUAACAAGGUAGCCCUAGGGGAACCUGGGGCUGGAUCACCUCCUU